rnacentral:tRNA from 1 species
GGAUAUAGCUCAGUUGGUAGAGUGCUUGCCUCACAUGCACAGAGCCAUGGGUUCAAUCCUCAGCACCA